GGAUCAGCCGGUACUCGCGAAUGCUCUAGAUUAAAGUUUGAUCAUGGCUCAGAGCGAACGCUGGCGGUAGGCCUAACACAUGCAAGUCGAACGGCAGCACAGGAGAGCUUGCUCUCUGGGUGGCGAGUGGCGGACGGGUGAGGAAUACAUCGGAAUCUACUCUGUCGUGGGGGAUAACGUAGGGAAACUUACGCUAAUACCGCAUACGACCUACGGGUGAAAGCAGGGGAUCUUCGGACCUUGCGCGAUUGAAUGAGCCGAUGUCGGAUUAGCUAGUUGGCGGGGUAAAGGCCCACCAAGGCGACGAUCCGUAGCUGGUCUGAGAGGAUGAUCAGCCACACUGGAACUGAGACACGGUCCAGACUCCUACGGGAGGCAGCAGUGGGGAAUAUUGGACAAUGGGCGCAAGCCUGAUCCAGCCAUACCGCGUGGGUGAAGAAGGCCUUCGGGUGA
rnacentral:rRNA from 1 species